UACAGAGGGUGCGAGCGUUAAUCGGAAUUACUGGGCGUAAAGCGUGCGUAGACGGUAGCGUAAGUCAGAUGUGAAAGCCCCGGGCUCAACCUGGGAAUUGCAUUUGAGACUGCUCUGCUCGGGUGCGGAAGAGGGAAGCGGAAUUCCCGGUGUAGUGGUGGAAUGCGUAGAUAUCGGGAGGAACACCAGUGGCGAAGGCGGCUUCCUGGACCUGUUCUGACGCUGAGGCACGAAAGCCAGGGGAGCAAACGGG
rnacentral:rRNA from 1 species